rnacentral:rRNA from 1 species
UAGAGAGACCACAGGGAUUGCCCCAGUAACGGCGAGUGAAGCGGCAACAGCUCAAAUUUGAAAUCCGGCGCCCCCCGCGGCGCCCGAGUUGUAAUUUGCAGAGGAUGCUUCUGGCGCGGCGCCUUCCGAGUUCCCUGGAACGGGACGCCACAGAGGGUGAGAGCCCCGUCCGGUCGGACGCCCAGCCUCUGUGAAGCUCCUUCGACGAGUCGAGUAGUUUGGGAAUGCUGCUCUAAACGGGAGGUAUAUGUCUUCUAAAGCUAAAUACCGGCCAGAGACCGAUAGCGCACAAGUAGAGUGAUCGAAAGAUGAAAAGCACUUUGAAAAGAGGGUUAAACAGUACGUGAAAUUGUUGAAAGGGAAGCGCUCGUACCAGAACUCCGGGCGCGGCGAAUCACCCGGCGUUCUCGCCGGUGCACUUCGCCGCGCCCGGGCCAGCAUCAGUUCGCGGCGGGGGAUAAAGGCGCCGGGAACGUGGCUCCCCCGGGAGUGUUAUAGCCCGGCGCGCCAUGCCCCGCGGCGGACUGAGGUUCGCGCGUCCGCAAGGAUGCUGGCGUAAUGGUCACCAGUGACCCGUCUUGAAACACGGACCAAGGAGUCGUCCUCGUAUGCGAGUGUUCGGGCGUCAAACCCCUACGCGCAAUGAAAGUGAACGCAGGUGAGAGCCCUCGCGGGCGCAUCAUCGACCGAUCCUGAUGUCCUCGGAUGGAUUUGAGUAAGAGCAUACGGGGCCGGACCCGAAAGAAGGUGAACUAUGCCUGUGUAGGGUGAAGCCAGAGGAAACUCUGGUGGAGGCUCGCAGCGGUUCUGACGUGCAAAUCGAUCGUCAAACAUGGGCAUGGGGGCGAAAGACUAAUCGAACCUUCUAGUAGCUGGUUUCCGCCAGUUUUCCCCCA